AGAUGCCGUUGGAAGUGUCACAGCCUAAUUUUCGGGCCAUGACCGGAGCAAGGGCCAAAUGGGCUCAGCCCAUUAAGCCCAAGCAAGCCUCUUUAUAGAAUCUUAUACAUUAAUCGAUUCUCUUUUAAAAUUCAAAAUCUGUAGCGUUCAAAUAUAAUUCCAUUGAAAACAAUUCAUACAACCCAACUAUACAUUCAGAAUGGCAUCAUCAACCAUAAUACACAUAUAUAGUUUGACAAAUGAACCUCAUCAUUUCACAACAAGUAUUCAUAUACACUUAAUUAGAACUUGAUUGUCAGCAGAGUGACUCUGGACAUGGUUGCUACCAUUUAAUGUCAUGGUAAACCUACCAAGUAAUGAAUAGGGAGGAACACCUCGUCCUAGGACCCAACCACCUUUGACUCAAGAAACCUAAAACAUGAAUUUUGAAAAUGUGAGUACAAACUCAAUGAGUGAGCAUAAGAAGGGAACAAGCAAUGACAAGGAAUGGUUUAGGAAACAUGAUGCACUUAUUUGAAAACAAUGCCAUUUAGUUCAAGUUCUUAUUAAAAUCCCUCCAUUUAAACCCUUGGUUGUAAAAUCAUUUAAUGAUGAAGGAACCGUAUUCAGCAUGAAAUUAGAAAGAAAGGAAAUUUCCAGCAAUUAACCAAGCAAGGCAGUAUAAACAGAAUAUUUCUCGUUAUUCAUUUCAAUCACAUAUUAUAAUCAUAAACUUUCUAUCAUAUAUACCUAUAUAAACAUAUAUAAACAUGUCCACCAUCCCAAUUUCAUUCAUCGUCAUGUGCACUUCCUACUCGUACAUAGCCCGGUCAUCAUCAUCAGCUCAUGUACACUCCCUACUCGCACAUAGCUGGGUCAUCAUCGGCUUAUGCGCACUCCCUACUCGCACAUAGCCAGGUCAUCAUCAUCACACAACAUUAUUCAUCAAUGCACAACAUAUAUUCAUAUAUAUACAUACCAACAUAAUAUAGGAGCACAUGGAUUCAUCCUUUUGCACAUUUCACAUUUUCACAACAUCAAAACAUUUUAUCAAGGGCUUGUUCCCCAGCACACAUUUUUGAAGAAAAGUUAGAAAAAAUCAUUCAAAUGUUUCAUCCAAAUACAAUUAUAUUUCCCAAAGAAAUUUUGAAAUGCAAGUUUACUCACCUUAUAACAACGAGAUAUUAAGUCGCUAUUUGCUCAGAGGUGUCUUUAACUAUUUUCACUGGCCGGUCGCUCGUUAUUUACUCUGGCAGGCCACCACAGUACUCUAACCUUGCCUUUGCACUUCUUAGCAAUAGUACCAACUCAACAUAUUUAAUUACAUACGUAUAUAGGUAGCACUUUAAUCAAUUAAUCUUUACUUAAAUUUAUAUUUUUCACCCUAUCAUGAAACCAUCUUCAAUUAACUCACAUCUUAAUACAUUUUUACUGAAAUUACUUAUAUCAGUUGUGUACGUAAUUCCUUAUUUUAUAUCUCUGGUAACUUAUUUAUGAUGUCACAUGCCUACUUCAACCUUUCUAAAUAAUUUUCGCUCAAAUUCAUCUUAUAUUUCCACACAUAAUCCACAUAUAUGGCAGCAACAAUCAUUCUCACUUUCACUCAAUUAUUUCCUACGUUACAUGCAUCGUUAUCUAUCUAACUUUCAAUACUUUGUUUCCCAAUCCUCUAUCCACAAUAUUCUUUUUUCAUUUCUUUCAAACAACAUGCCAUACAAUCUUAACAAUUUUCAACUAGCUUAUGCAAAUAGAUCCUUUCAACAACCAUAAUUGCUCACAAUAUUCAACUAAUCGUAGGCUUUAAAACAUAGUGUUAAGCUUACCGUUUUCCUUUUCCACUUUGAGUCCUUCAUGUACCCAUGGGUUUAUUGGCUUACAUGUUAUCAAUUUUUCUCUAAUCAAGCCAAUCUUUGCUGCCACAAGACAUUUCUCUAAGUCACUAACUCAUUUCAAAAACUACUCAAGCCAAGAACAAGAAUUCUUAUCAUUCCUUACUUGAAUCACCAAAACCAAGCUUUUUUCUUCCUUUCUCUCUUUUUCUUUCUUCUCCUCCUAGGGUUUAGAUGUGCUAGAAAUUAGGGUUAAAGGUUGUAAAUUUAGUGCUCAAGAAGUUUGAAGAAGAAAGGAAAAGAAAACAUGGAAAGGAAAGUGAAGAAAACUCGAUUUCAUGGUGGAUAAAGAGAAAAUGGCAUGGAAGCUUCAAGAAUGGCUUGGAGCAUGGAUGAAGAAGAAGAAAAAUUUGGUG
rnacentral:lncRNA from 1 species